CCUCCACAUCAAAAAAUUCUCUCCGUUCUGGAAGUGCUCCGCCUCCGCCUCCUCUGGCGACGGAUGCUAUCCCGACGGCUAUUCCCUCAGUUCCCUGUCCGCCGCUGCCUCGGUUGGCCACUGAGUUGCUUCCGACGGCGGCAGCGGGUGUUUCUUCUCCUCCCGCCACAGCUGCAGCAGCCCGACCCCCUCUGAACGGUGCCGGUGACGGAUUGUUCUUGGCCUUCCUCUCCUGCCACCACUCCGGGUAGCCGUGGAGUUCAAAGCAUGUUUCCCGUGUGUGCUUUUUCUUUCCACAGUGAGAACACACCAAUUUUGAUUUGUCUUCGUCCGGCCGUUUGCUCCAAUUUUCUCCAUUCCCGCCACCGCUUCGUUGAGAGGAGUUGCGGUGUGCUGCCGGAUUUUGCCACGGAUGGGUCACUGCUAACCCAGCUCCAAUCCCUUGUGUGCUGGAGUCACCUGCUUGUAGGACAGCGGAUCUGGUGUCUUCUCGCCGGAGCAUAGCGUAUGCAUUCUCCACCGAGGGAAGUGGUUCUACCCUUAGUAUUUCCUUUUUGAUGUUCUCGUACUUGCCGUUUAAGGCUACAAGCAACUGGAACAGCCUCUGUUCUUGUUUCUCGGUGUGGUAUAUUUCAAUAUCUUCGGCGUACUUCAUCCGAUUUGGUUGUCUCCGGUCUAUGGAGAUCCAUAGAUCGUUCAAAGUUGUCCAUAUGUCCUCCAAAGAUUCCUCCUUUUGUUUUAACGUUAUUGCCUUUGCGUACAGGUCGUAGACUUGAAUUUUGUCGCCUCCGCUAGCAUAUGUAACUUCCAGGCUGGUCCAUAUUUCCUUAGCCGUUGGGUAUUGAGUCAGACGGCUGACCAAUUUUUGUUCCACAUUCUGAAUCAACCAUGUAAAUACGCAGUGAUCCGCUUGCUGCCAUCUCUCGAAGGUUUGGUCGGUCCUUGCCGGAGGGGUUGGGACUCCUGUGAUGUGAGAUAUCAGACCCCUCCCACUGAUUGCCGCCUUCAUGAGAAUCGCCCAAGUGGAAUAAUUUUCGCCGUUUAGUCUUUCUCCGAUGACUAACGGUGAAGAAUCAAUUCUCUGAGACUCUGGUUGUUGGUUUGUGUGGAGAUUCUGGGGGGAUUAUUUGAUUUUGGGUGUGCGCCAUACUUGAUCUGCCGGAUUUUGGUUAAAGGGUUCGGGAUUGGUCCGAGACAGUGAUGAGACUACUCUGAGUCUCACCCCUGCUCUGAUACCAUCUUCAAAUGUAUAUCAGGCAUGGUUAGGAGGAAUGUAGGAGAAAAAGAGUGUUUAUUGUGUAUUCCUUGAUGAUUUCUACUUCACAUAUUGCACCCUUUUUAUAGGUGUUAUACGAAUACAUACAAGGCAUGGUAUCAAUGAUAUCAAUCUAUAUUUAAUGCUA